GGAGCGCGGCGCGGAGCCCGGCGGGGGAGCCGCGGAGCCGCUCGCCCGCCUUGCCCAAUCCUCACCAGGCACCGCCGAGCCGCUGCUCACGGACACACCUCGCUCGCUGGCUGGCGGCGGAGCGGCCGCCGGCCCGGCCCCGCGUACCUGCCCGGAGCGGCCGUGGCGAGCGGCGGGGGCGGGCACGGGCAGCCGGGCCGAGGGGCGGCCGGCAGGACGCGGGCAGCGGGCGGGGAGACUGCGCCCUCACCUCCAGGCACAUCGCUUUAAUAGCUCCAGGCACAUCACUGGGAAGGGAGAAGCUGGCGCCAAACCCAAGCCUGUCCUGCCGUAAAUUAGAAACUUGGCUCUCCCCACACACCAACAUAGGUUUUCGUCAGAAACGCAUUUUCAGUUUGUUCCAGUAUUUUAGGAUGAACUCCCCAGGAAAGAGAUUAAUGUCUUUUGUUACCAAUGUGUUGCAAGCCAUGCUUUACUGUCCUUUGUCCAUCCGAAGUUCCACAGGACACUUCCACCGUGGGAAACCCUGUUAGCUGUAACCUGGAGCUGUGGGGUCAGAGCUCAGAGGUGCUCUUGGGCUAUCUAGUGCCACUGCUUUAAAGCCGUGCUUUCUAUCUGUACUGCUCUGUCAAAGGGUAAGUGUGACAGAUAGCUCCAGUAACACCAUGUCCAUACAUUCUUCGAGAAAGCUUCAGUGGCAAAAUUUGUUUCAGAAAAAGAAUUUAUCUAGUUUUAGUUUGUUAUUUAGGUAUAUCUAAUACAGAUUUUGUGUCUCCACAAUAAUUACUGCAAAUAUAAUAAAACAAAUGUAAACAAUAUAUUCAUAUCACAUAGUUGAAGGAAAGUAGGUGAAAACCGAAGAGUCAGCCGCAUUCAAACCAACUAGGCUGGUAUCUUCUGUCUGACAAUGGCCAAUAGUAGAGAUACAGGUAAGAGGUAUGAAAACAUAUAAAUCACCAUUAAGUGAUCUUCUUUUUCUGUUUUCAGCUCCUAAAGUGCAGAGGGAAAGCUCUCAGGUGAAAUCCACUGCAAUCCUAGCAGCCACAAAUGUACCACUUCUCUAUGAAUUUGUCAAAUAGCUUUUUUGAUCUGUUGGUACACCUGGCCUCCAGGAGUGGUGGAAAGGUCUCAAAUUUACACAAAGGCUAGGCAGGAACUUUUUCUCACUGGUUUUAAAUCCAGUGCUUAAUAAUUUUACAGAGUACUUGAAUUUUUGUCAUGUAAGAAAUCAUGAAUGAUCAUGCCCUAUUUGUUUCCACCAUACCAGUAUAUAGACCUCUCAUAAUUUCAGAACCAUCCUUUUUCCUGAGCUGUGGAGCUUCGGUCUUUUACUUGUUUCCAAACGCCUUUGAAGUAGCAUUGCUCAAAGGAGCAGUCCUUCCAGUCCCUGUUGCUUUUUCCUGUCCUUUGGCCACGUCUGUUUCUUGUGCUAGCAUGCUGCAAACUCUAUCAGAAUAAUCCAACAAAAAUGAUUAAUUUUGUUCAUAUCAGUUCCCCCACUGAGCUGCUGAACAGCUGCACAAACACCAAAAGGGAGAGGCUUUCAGGGGUGACAGCGAGUAGCUGCAGGCAAAGGAGCUGGGGCCUGAUUUCAUCAGCAGAGCUGGCCAAAGUGGUUCAUGAAGCUACAGCUGGAGGCAGAGGUUUCCCAGGACUGGCUGCCACCUUCCUCCCUCUGUCAUGUGUCCCCCUGCCCAUGUCCACAGAUGUGGCUGUGUCAUUUCAGCUCAGUCACCUGGCAGGAAACUCUUCUUUUUUAGUGUAUGUGUGUGUGUGUUUUACCAGGUUACUGUGCUGAACCAGCUCAAUGACAGCAUGGAGAAGUGUGGAGUGGGAUUACAGCAGUAAAUCCAUAGUCAGCUCUGGGAUUGCAGCCUAAGCCCCUCAGACACCAUUCCCACCUUUUCAUCCUGCCCUGUACAUUUGCUAUUUAUACUUCUUUUCAGACAAUGUGGGCAAAACUACAUGCAAUAUACAAGAUAUGAUAUUAUAGCAAGUGUCCUGCUUCUUUCUUACUUCUGUUUUUUUCUUACUAUUUUCAAACAUUGCAUGGGUCACUUCUUGACCUGCUCUCUCCACAGAGCCAUGAACAAGAGGUCUGAGAUCUCUUUCCUGAGUGCAGAUUUACCAGUGAAUGCAAAGGUGAAUGAGAUUUCCUUUCAUUAGAGGCUAAAAUGGUGGCUGAAAAUGUCUUUGGGCACUACCAAAACCAAGUUGCUUACCUGGACAGUGGCACUCCCUCUGCAACAAGCGAGACAGCGAGCAAACUCCUGGGCAGAGCUGGCACUGCCAUCCACAGGCCUCCUCUUCUCAAUUGUCAUUCCUGAAAAUCUCAGCAGUAUCCCUGCGGGCAAGCAGGGAGUUCAGACCCUGUGAUGGUGUGAACAUCCCAGUGAUCUGUUUUGUCCUGCUGUUUGACUGCAAGCUUCCUCUGCGGCAAGAGGCAAGGGAGGAUGAAGAAAGAAGAGCAGCUCCAAAAUGAUGUGCUGCUGGUAGGAAAAGGAAGUCAAAUAAAGAAGGGAAUGGACUGAAACCAAAUUCCAGUAUAUUUGUUAUUUCCAAGCUCCUAAUUCAGAAAAACAGUGUUGCACAACAUUUUUUUGCUAUUUCAUCCAUGAUUGUUCUCUGAGGGAUCAACAUUACAAGACACACUCAUGUGGACAGCCUGGGCAAAUAUCUACUUAAAAAUUCCAUGAGGAUGAAGAACAAGACUUUCUGGAAAUCACUCCGUGCAAAACACUGUCCAAAUUCCAUUUGAAGAAAAAGACAUGUACACAAAUAAAACACAUGCAGAAACUUUCAGACUUCA